ensembl:lncRNA
GAGCAGGACUGGCCGAGCGACGAGCUAGCGGCUGGGGCAGGCGCCUGCUGGCUGUCGCCUCACUUCAUGGAGCUUCUCAACUCCGAAAACUUUGAAGCAAAUUGUCAAUUCGGCAUCAAUUUUCACAAGACUGCCCAUAUUCGAAAUCUAAACAGUUCUUUUCUCGCCUAAAACGUUCUCAUAAGUGAAUUUAGUGAUGAAUAAGAUGGCGAACAUUGUUAAAAUUGUCCUGUGGUUGGUCUGUCUAAUAUUAUGACUGGCUGUGUUUUCGCGCCGUUAUUCGUGUUCUAGGUCAGCGGUCACGCCUCUUUCUUUCACUCGGCACGGCGGCAGUCGCUGGAGCCUGCAGGACGCGUGACAGCUCAACAAUGGCCCUGCCAACUUUAUCCUCAGAUGAGCUGAUCCAAACAUGACAGAAGGUGGUCACAGAAAUUCAGAGGGUGAACACAACACACCAUACCCAAUUGUCCAGGUGACCCAAGAAGACUGGAAGUCCACAUUUGAGGGACGAAGCUCCUGUUCCCUGAAGGUAGACAGGGUCGAGGUGUGUGAAGGCAUGAAGGUAGAGAAAGCCAUGAUCUCCUCGUUUUAUUCAUAUUUUGUUUUCAAUCUUGAAUACCAACCCAAAAACAAGAACACUCUGACCUUCCUCCAGCGAUGCAUUGCGAAAAUGCCAUCCAAGAUAACCAUGUCUUUCUUUCCUCAGUGGGAGAGAAAUUGUUUUUUGAGGAAAACAUUUCUGGAUUUUUCUUCUAACAAUGGAGUUCAUUGGUUACCAUCGUUUUUAAGUCCAAAUCAAUGCAGUUUCAAAAGUCUUUGAAGUGUUUAAACGGGCUGUACGCGAUCACAGCUGAAGAAGAGGUUGUUUUCUAGCGAAACGAUGGGUCA